GAUGAACGCUGGCGGCGUGCCUAAUACAUGCAAGUCGAGCGAACAGAUGAGGAGCUUGCUCCUCUGACGUUAGCGGCGGACGGGUGAGUAAAACGUGGAUAACCUACCUAUAAGACUGGGAUAACUUCGGGAAACCGGAGCUAAUACCGGGUAAUAUAUUGAACCGCAGGGUUCAAUAGUGAAAGACGGUUUUGCUGUCGCUUAUAGAUUGAUCCGCGCCGCAUUAGCUAGUUGGUAAGGUAACGGCUUACCAAGGCAACGAUGCGUAGCCGACCUGAGAGGGUGAUCGGCCACACUGGAACUGAGACACGGUCCAGACUCCUACGGGAGGCAGCAGUAGGGAAUCUUCCGCAAUGGGCGAAAGCUUGACGGAGCAACGCCGCGUGAGUGAUGAAGGCCUUCGGAUCUUAAAACUCUGUUAUUAGGGAAGAACAAAUGUGUAAGUAAAUAUGCACGUCUUGACGGUACCUAAUCAGAAAGCCACGGCUAACUACGUG
rnacentral:rRNA from 1 species